rnacentral:rRNA from 1 species
AGUGAACGCUGGCGGUAGGCCUAACACAUGCAAGUCGAACGGCAGCACAGUAAGAGCUUGCUCUUACGGGUGGCGAGUGGCGGACGGGUGAGGAAUACAUCGGAAUCUACUUUUUCGUGGGGGAUAACGUAGGGAAACUUACGCUAAUACCGCAUACGACCUACGGGUGAAAGCAGGGGAUCUUCGGACCUUGCGCGAUUGAAUGAGCCGAUGUCGGAUUAGCUAGUUGGCGGGGUAAAGGCCCACCAAGGCGACGAUCCGUAGCUGGUCUGAGAGGAUGAUCAGCCGCACUGGAACUGAGACACGGUCCAGACUCCUACGGGAGGCAGCAGUGGGGAAUAUUGGACAAUGGGCGCAAGCCUGAUCCAGCCAUACCGCGUGGGUGAAGAAGGCCUUCGGGUUGUAAAGCCCUUUUGUUGGGAAAGAAAAGCAGCAGGUUAAUACCCCACUGUUCUGACGGUACCCAAAGAAUAAGCACCGGCUAACUUCGUG